rnacentral:rRNA from 1 species
CCUACGGGAUGCAGCAGUGGGGAAUAUUGCGCAAUGGGGGAAACCCUGACGCAGCAACGCCGCGUGAGUGAAGACGUAUCACGGUAUGUAAAGCUCUAUCAGCGGGGAAGAAGGAAGACGGUACCCGACUAAGAAGCCCCAGCUAACGACGGGCCAGCAGCCGCGGUAAUACGUAGGGGGCAAGUGUUAUCCGGAUUUACUGGGUGUAAAGGGAGGGUAGACGGCGACGCAAGUCUGAAGUGAAAGCCCGUGGCUCAACCGCGGAACCGCUUUGGAAACUGCGUGGCUGGAGUGCUGGAGAGGUAAGCGGAAUGCCUGGUGUAGCGGUGAAAUGCGUAGAUAUCAGGAGGAACACCGGUGGCGAAGGCGGCUUACUGGACAGUGACUGACGUUGAGGCUCGAAAGCGUGGGGAGCGAACAGGAUUAGAUACCCUAGUAGUC